rnacentral:rRNA from 1 species
GACGUAGGGCGCGAGCGUUGUCCGGAUUUAUUGGGCGUAAAGAGCUCGUAGGCGGUUUGUCGCGUCGUUCGUGAAAACUCACAGCUUAACUGUGAGCUUGCGGUCGAUACGGGCAGGCUAGAGUUCGGUAGGGGAGACUGGAAUUCCUGGUGUAGCGGUGAAAUGCGCAGAUAAUCAGGAGGAACACCGGUGGCGAAGGCGGGUCUCUGGGCCGUAACUGACGCUGAGGAGCGAAAGCAUGGGGAGCGAACAGG